UGUGAGCUCGAUGAGUAGGGCGGGACACGUGGUAUCCUGUCUGAAUAUGGGGGGACCAUCCUCCAAGGCUAAAUACUCCUGACUGACCGAUAGUGAACCAGUACCGUGAGGGAAAGGCGAAAAGAACCCCGGCGAGGGGAGUGAAAAAGAACCUGAAACCGUGUACGUACAAGCAGUGGGAGCACGCUUAGGCGUGUGACUGCGUACCUUUUGUAUAAUGGGUCAGCGACUUAUAUUCUGUAGCAAGGUUAACCGAAUAGGGGAGCCGAAGGGAAACCGAGUCUUAACUGGGCGUUAAGUUGCAGGGUAUAGACCCGAAACCCGGUGAUCUAGCCAUGGGCAGGUUGAAGGUUGGGUAACACUAACUGGAGGACCGAACCGACUAAUGUUGAAAAAUUAGCGGAUGACUUGUGGCUGGGGGUGAAAGGCCAAUCAAACCGGGAGAUAGCUGGUUCUCCCCGAAAGCUAUUUAGGUAGCGCCUCGUGAAUUCAUCUCCGGGGGUAGAGCACUGUUUCGGCAAGGGGGUCAUCCCGACUUACCAACCCGAUGCAAACUGCGAAUACCGGAGAAUGUUAUCACGGGAGACACACGGCGGGUGCUAACGUCCGUCGUGAAGAGGGAAACAACCCAGACCGCCAGCUAAGGUCCCAAAGUCAUGGUUAAGUGGGAAACGAUGUGGGAAGGCCCAGACAGCCAGGAUGUUGGCUUAGAAGCAGCCAUCAUUUAAAGAAAGCGUAAUAGCUCACUGGUCGAGUCGGCCUGCGCGGAAGAUGUAACGGGGCUAAACCAUGCACCGAAGCUGCGGCAGCGACACUAUGUGUUGUUGGGUAGGGGAGCGUUCUGUAAGCCUGUGAAGGUGUGCUGUGAGGCAUGCUGGAGGUAUCAGAAGUGCGAAUGCUGACAUAAGUAACGAUAAAGCGGGUGAAAAGCCCGCUCGCCGGAAGACCAAGGGUUCCUGUCCAACGUUAAUCGGGGCAGGGUGAGUCGACCCCUAAGGCGAGGCCGAAAGGCGUAGUCGAUGGGAAACAGGUUAAUAUUCCUGUACUUGGUGUUACUGCGAAGGGGGGACGGAGAAGGCUAUGUUGGCCGGGCGACGGUUGUCCCGGUUUAAGCGUGUAGGCUGGUUUUCCAGGCAAAUCCGGAAAAUCAAGGCUGAGGCGUGAUGACGAGGCACUACGGUGCUGAAGCAACAAAUGCCCUGCUUCCAGGAAAAGCCUCUAAGCAUCAGGUAACAUCAAAUCGUACCCCAAACCGACACAGGUGGUCAGGUAGAGAAUACCAAGGCGCUUGAGAGAACUCGGGUGAAGGAACUAGGCAAAAUGGUGCCGUAACUUCGGGAGAAGGCACGCUGAUAUGUAGGUGAAGUCCCUCGCGGAUGGAGCUGAAAUCAGUCGAAGAUACCAGCUGGCUGCAACUGUUUAUUAAAAACACAGCACUGUGCAAACACGAAAGUGGACGUAUACGGUGUGACGCCUGCCCGGUGCCGGAAGGUUAAUUGAUGGGGU
rnacentral:rRNA from 1 species